CAGUAAACGGCGGCCGUAACUAUAACGGUCCUAAGGUAGCGAAAUUCCUCGUCGGCUAAAAACCGACCUGCACGAAUCGUGUAACGACUUGGCCGCUGUCUCAACGAGGGACUCGGUGAAAUUGUAGUUCCGGUGAAGAUGCCGGAUACCCGCGGCAGGACAGAAAGACCCCGUGAACCUUUACUAUAGCUUGGUAUUGGAUUUUGACACUGUACGUGUAGGAUAGGUGGGAGGCUAUGAAGCGGGAGCGCCAGUUCUCGUGGAGCCGUCCUUGAAAUACCACCCUUGCUUUGUUAAAAUUCUAACCUUGGUCCCUUGAUCGGGAUCGGAGACAGUGCCAGGUGGGUAGUUUAACUGGGGCGGUUGCCUCCUAAAAAGUAACGGAGGCGCCCAAUGGUUCCCUCAGCGCGGUCGGUAAUCGCGCGUAGAGUGUAAAGGCAUACAGGGAGCUUGACUGCGAGACUUACAAGUCGAGCAGGUGCGAAAGCAGGGCUUAGUGAUCCGACGGUUGCAUGUGGAAGCGCCGAAGCUCAACGGAUAAAAGGUACUCCGGGGAUAACAGGCUUAUUGCCCCCAAGCGCUCAUAGCGACGGGGCAGUUUGGCACCUCGAUGUCGGCUCAGCGCAUCCUGGGGCUGGAGAAGGUCCCAAGGGUUUGGCUGUUCGCCAAUUAAAGCGCUACGCGAGCUGGGUUCAGAACGUCGUGAGACAGUUCGGUCCCUAUCCGCCGUGGGUGUAGGAUAUUUGAGGAGAUCUGACCCUAGUACGAGAGGACCGGGUUGGACGGACCUCUGGUCUACCAGUUGUUCCGCCAGGAGCAUCGCUGGGUAGCUACGUUCGGCAGGGAUAAACGCUGAAAGCAUCUAAGCGUCAAGCCCACUCCAAGACUAGAUAUCCCGUAGGGUUAACCUACCUAAAGGCCCCUCGUAGACUACGAGGUUGAUAGGCUGCAGGUGGAAGCGCGGCAACGCGUGAAGCCGAGCAGUACUAAUUGGCCGUGAGGCUUGACCAU
rnacentral:rRNA from 1 species